rnacentral:misc_RNA from 1 species
CAUCCCCGGACUCCAAUAGCUAGAAAACGACGCGGAUUUCACCGAAAAUUCAAAACCCUAAUCCUUUUCUGGGUUUUCUGAUUUUCACUUCAAUCUCUCUAAUGGAAACCGAAGAAGAAGACAAUUCAAGGCACUCUACAAUCACGUCAACAACAGCAAUCACUGCAGAGCCUCACACUGUAAACAACCUCUUAUGUACCCAACCUCAAUGUAGGCCCCACCCUGUGGCCGAGUUGCCCGCACAACAAUUCGGUGGUGGUGGUGGGGAUGGCGAGUCACGACCGCCACCUGAAACAGAAACCAAUGUUCCCGACGACGGCGAAUAUCAGGAUGUGGUUGCGGGGGAUAAUACG